AAGGCCAGGCCGCCGCCGGCGAGCGCUUCGCGGGAGGUUCCGCCAGGAUGCGUCCGAUGAGCGCGAAGAGGCGUCUCGCAUCGCGGGAGGCUCCGCUAGGCCUCCGCCGACGACGAGCACGGUGAGGCCCGUCGGUGGAGGCUCCGCCGGGACGCCUCCGUUGAGCACGAUGGGGCACGUCACGGGGAGGACGCCGCCAGGCCGCCGUCGAAUCAGCCACCUCGCCACCAACGACCAUGAGCCGUGAGGAGGAGGCGGGUCGCUGGGAGGACUCGGACAGUAGGCCGUCGACUCCGCCACACCUGCCGCACCACACCUGCCGCAGACGAGCUCAGAGGAGGAGCGGAGUAGGCUCCCGUGAUGAUUUGCUGGCGCCAGUCGGAGCAAAAAGAAUUGGGAUUCUUCAAUGCUCCAUACUGCGCCAUUGUCUAAAGCACCAACAUAAAUGGGAACGCCACAGAUGCACAACCAAAGGUGCUACUCCCUCGCUGGUGUAGCUGCAAUGAACAUGUUUGAUAGAAUGCCUCACAGGUGCUAACGUCCAUUUUUUUUGGUUGCUAUUUUCCUCUAUUCCUGUUGUAGUUAAACUACUUAUCUCUAGGCUGAAUAGGCACACGAGUGUAGCUGCAGCUGGCAAGAUUAAUGGUCUGCUUGCUGCAAAAAGAGUGGAAUUAAUAUCACCGGGGAAAUAGUGUUUCUGAGAGCAGCAGCAGCGUGCCCAUGUUGUACCUGUGUGAUGUCUCUAUCUCUCUGCCUUUUCUUUCAUUUCUUUUAAGUCAUGUGUUAAGCAUCAUUUACUUGCUGUGGAUUAGAAUUUUGUGAUGGAUAUGCGAGGGCUUUGAUUUUUGUGUGUGAUAGGUGUAUGUACAGUUUAAUGUUGUUCUGAAGAACAGUGAUUUAUAGUUCUGCCCGAGAAUUUGAUAACGCAAUGACACAAUGGUAAGAACUAAUGUUUCACAAUUAUAUCAUACUAUGCUCGAGCUUGUGCUUCGAUACAUUAGAUUUUUCUAAUGCUGGCCAUUUCAUUGAUAUUUUGUUGUACCGUUUGUGUGUGCAUUCUGUAGCUUCACUACCUUCCUGCUAUGGUUUUUCAUACAAAGUGUUGAUGCAUUUGUUGUACUCGAUUGCAGGACAAGUUCAGGCAGAAAGAAUGUUUCUCGAAAUUUGGAAUUUCGUUUACCUGACUUUGUUCAGGUAAUGCACUAUCUUCUUACUUUUGUGAUACUUUUCGAGCUUAAGCGUUUUGGUGUGAAGUCGUAUAGUGGUACUUGCUAUAUUUCCUUUUUACAAAACAAUGUUUAGUUUAUGUAUGGUCCACUUAACAUGACACUUGCAAAUGACAGCAUAGCAACUGGAAAUUAGGCGUGCCAAUGUUCUGUUGAAACGAAAAUGCACCAGAAACAAUGCAACGGAUUCUAGCUGUAUAACGAAAAAAUGCAAGAAAUUGCUUGGUACAAACAACUUAGAGGUGCAAUGAAAAAAUAUAAGAAAUUUCUUGGUACAAACAACUUAGAUUUGGGGCAACCAAAGAAACCCUGGAAUCUAAUAUAUGUAAAAGAGGUGUGGAGAUUCUUACAGUGCCAUGGAGGAUAUAAGAAGUUAUGUCAUGCUGCAACCAUACAACAUAGGAUAGUACAAAGGCGAGAAAGAGCCCCAUAAUAUAUACAGGUUCGUGAUCAUGAACAAAUGAAAUAACCUUGAUUAGCCCACCAACAUGAGAAAAUGGCCUUGGUGAUAACUGGCAAACAUGAAUAUCGAAAUCACAUGAUGUUGAGAUAACUAGAAAUACAAACAGGGAAAUUAAAAGGAGAACUCAUAUAUUCAGCCAUUAUUUUAGUGAGAUGAUCACCUAAGAAGAAACAUGAAUUCAUCGAAAACAACUAUUGCAAGAAGAAGAAUGGCCCAUGAGGGUGGUUAACUCACCUCUAGGAAUAGAUAAUCCACGUGAAUAUUGUGCACUGCAGCCUUGGUUAUUGGCUUCACAGAAGAAGAAAAAUGAUAGGGAAUAUGCAAGAACACAUAUCAGUGAGAGAUUUCUUUCCGUUGUUAUUAGCUCCACUAAUUCUUACUUUGCUUUAUAUGUUCCACAUGCGAGAAUUAAGAGAAUUUUCCAUAAUAUGUUCAAUUACAGGAUUUCUUUACACUUUUUGAUUGUGAUGACUCCAAUUACUUAUAUCGCCGCUGCGUCUGCCGCCUUCGAGCUGGGUGACCGUGGCCUUGCUGUCGCCGCACUUGCCCGCCAUUCAUGCCGUGUGUGAGCGAGGUCCCCCCAAACUUUGGUUAUUUGUUUGUACUUUAUUGGGGACAUAUAUGGUACAGAUCUUUUCAUUCAUACUUUCACAAAUUUUCUCUCCAUCUUAAUAUAUAACCAUUUCUACGAUACACGGACUGCAAUUUUAAAUUAUUUAGGCCGUUCGGUUCCAUACAUGUUUGCACUAACUGCCGGCCUACUAUACAAUGGUAUGAAAUUAUAGCUAUGCAAAUAAGAAGUUUGUUAAUCAAUAGGUUAGUAUUAACAGUACAUACAGAAUUACCCAGGGUCCGUCGCAUAAUUCUCCCAGCCUCCCUUACGUGCAAACCCAUCUUUCACGACACAUGGCUUAGAAUGUUGAUUAGUUCUCAUGACUUUUCAUAUUAUUAUAUCAUCACCAGGAAGGCCUUCUAGCAUUGUUUGGGUCUCCUAGCGAACAGUUAUAUUUUGUUCCAUAAGGCCUCCUAGCAAACAGUUAGAGGCUAAAAACUUUGAGAUACAAGUCUUAAGUUUCAUAAAAAACAUGCAUGCAUUUUCUUCCCAUCACCCUUCUGUUAUGUCAUAAAGUCCUUAUUCUUCUUUCUAUUAUUCUUCCAUUGAAUUCCUUUGUGAGCAUGGCUUUUACGCUCAGAAUUGUAUAUUUUGCAAUUUGCAAAUAGUGACAUUGCUAUUUCAUUCUAUAUAUGGUAUAUGAUCAUAUAGUCUGCUAUCUGGUUAUGCUCCUCUAUGCUUAUUUAUACAAGUACUUAGAUCAUGCACCUCUGUAGGAACAUAUCUCACUCUCACUUUUCUAGGUCAUUUUGAUGAUCUCACAAAGGGAGAUGUAGUCAUUUAAUGGCACUAUAUUUAGACCCUUGCUGAUUUCACAUAUAUGUAUUGUGUAUUUGCUCUCCAUGGUAACAGAGGAGUUUAACGUUCUGGUCUGACAAGUAAUAGAUGAAACCUUAGCUUAAUUUUAUCUCUAACAUUUAGGAGCAUAAAGACACUGUGCUGAAGUAAGUGUUCUUAUUAUAUAGCAACGGUUUUGCAGGUGCUAUAAUUGUGGUGUCAUUAUCUGUGGGUCUUUUGAGGUAACUCCACCAUUCAUUUAAGUACACUGGGUUUCUCCAUGAAUUUUUUCCAAGAGCUUUUGCCAGAUUGGCCUUAACAGUGAAGAUCCAAACAAGUGAGUUAAAACACACAGUUAUGUAACUCUGUGUUAUUAUUUAUUUCACUUUAAAGUUUAAUUUUUUUACUCUCAGCAAGAUAAAAAUGGAGCCUUAAGCAAGACUCAUUUCAAAAAUUUCAACAAUACAUUUCUGACUUUUUAACGACUCAUCAAUAUUUUCAAGAACAUAUUUAUGGCAAUAUCACCAAUCUAUAUAUGUUAUAAUAACAUUUGAGAUUCAGUGGACCACUUGAAUACAAAUUCGUCAAGUCUGUCUUCCGAAGUUGCGAUUGGCUACAGGAGAGCAAAUUUGGCUCCCGAACGAUCAACAAGUAGAGGACCAAUCCUUUUAAUGCCAGUGUUGUUGCGAGACUGGUACGACUAAACUGAGAAGUGCUUUUAGUUCUGUUGCUAGACUGGCAUGGCUAAACUGAGAAGUGCUUUUGUUGAUAGCUGGAUCCUUUCAAAGUAGGUGGUUCAUUUUAGUUCCUGCCGUAUUUUUUAAAGAUGAAAUUCAGGUUGUAAAGACAUAUACUCUAUUUGAAUCAACACACAGACUGUUGAUUUUUUCCAUUCGGUGUAAGUGACAUUAAUCAUGUAUGUUUACUAGGUAACUAAAAAAAAAGUAUCAUGUGCCUGUGUA